CGAAAAUAACUCAGUUUGUAUCAAUUAUCAUCAGGCCGUAUGUUGACUUCUGGCAGGAAGUAAAACAUCACCCCUUUCAAUAGGUAGAAAGGGAGCAGCUUGUUAAAGAAAAAUAUUUGUUGUCUAUUCGUAAAUCCAAAUAAAUGAAAUCUAUGUCUAUUAACAAAAUAAAAGAAAAAAAAUUUAAGAGAACCCAAAGAAAGAGCUACUGUUCUGUAGUUCCAUAUCGUCCCCAUCUUGAAAAGCAGACUUCCCCCUGAAAAUUCCAAUCUGAAUAAAGAAAUUCACAUGGGCUUCAACAAUCCAGUGCCAAUUUGGGUUUUCGGCCUAUCGGAAAAGAGUAGAAUAAGCCGGAAGGUAUCGUUUUCCUUAAUUUUUUCUUUAGGUUAGGGAUAACCGUCGCUGGCCACAAAGAUGACCUGAAACUCCUCGGGGACGCCAUCGAUUCGCUACCUCCUCUCGCGGUAUAGGCGUGUUCUUGCUUUCACCCUCUUUUUUCUCUGGUUUACCAUCUAUACAUUUUUUUCCUUCUCCAUCUUAAGAUCCGGGAAACGAGUGCUUGAUGCGCUAUGAGUUUGCCUUUCAACUGAAAAAUGUAAUAUAUCCAUGUCAACAGAAGAUAACAUACUGAGAGAGAGAGAAAAUACGAAGGUUUAUUUUGUGUCAAAUACUAUUAAUUUCACUGAUUAAUAAUGAUUUCUUAAAGAUUAUUAACUAUAAAAAUCUUCAAGUCCAUUAAUUAACCAGAUCAUGGUCAUAAAUUUAACUGUCGUUUAUGAACAGGCGUGUUCUUUCUGAAACUGAAAACUGAAAAGACACGAAAACGGCAACAGACACCCUUUCAUCAUCUAUAAAUAGAUGAAAAGAUUUGGCCUUUUACAUCAGUGUAUUAGAAUCAGUUCUUACAAACAUACUUUCUUCAUCAUCUUUGCUGUUAAUAAUCAAGAUUUUUGGCAAAAGCACACAAUGGCUGCCAAUAAUAGGAUUCUGAUUAUCGCCAUCAUUAUGUCCGCAUUUUUUCUGAUGGCAAUGGCAGAAGGGGCGGAGAGAAAUACGAAUGCAAAUUGCAUGAUAGAGUGCUAUUCCGAAUGCAUGCAAAUCGAUAUUUUUACGCACUGGGAUUGCGAGAGCGGGUGCAGAGUUGCCUGUGCAAGAAGACACACAAGGAAAGUAUCAGUGGAUGGUCAAAAUGGGUUCCUGCCUUCGUGGGUUUAACAGUCAUCACAAAACUUUAUCACAUUUUAAUGCGUAAUCUUUUCAUUUUAUCUGUCUUUGUGAGAGAAAGCGGUCAAGUUCGGGUUUGUAGUAGAUUUUCCGGAGUUUUGAUAUGACUUUAUACAAUAACAAAGUGAAUGACUGUCUUCAUUUUCCUGAUAUAUCAGACUGGUUUGG
rnacentral:lncRNA from 1 species